CAGCACCUCAAGUGGUCAGGAUGAUUAUUGGGCCUAAAGCAUCCGUAGCCGGAUCUGUAAGUUUUCGGUUAAAUCUGUACGCUUAACGUACAGGCUGCCGGGAAUACUACAGAUCUAGGGAGUGGGAGAGGUAGACGGUACUCGGUAGGAAGGGGUAAAAUCCUUUGAUCUAUUGAUGACCACCUGUGGCGAAGGCGGUCUACCAGAACACGUCCGACGGUGAGGGAUGAAAGCUGGGGGAGCAAACCGGAUUAGAUACCCGAGUAGUCC
rnacentral:rRNA from 1 species